GCCGGGCCCCCUCCUUCCUUGGCAUGAGCAGCCUGGCCAGCUCUGCUCGCCGGCCCAGCCGCUCCCAAAAGCCCGGGCAGCCCCGGGUGCGCUCUGCCGAGGCAGAGAGCGUCCCCGCUGACUCAGAAUCUGCUCUGGCUUCCCUGGUGGCUCAGACGUGAUGAUACUGACUCCUAGGGUUUUGGAGUGAGGAUUAAGAUGACAUAUCUGAAGCACUUGGCACGAUGCCUGGCCCUCAGCCUUCAGCAUCACUCAGGGAACUGCUGCUGCCGCUGCUUCCCCCUCCCGUCUCUUACCCCCGGAACGUCCUCGUCAAGCUGCCUUGAUGGCUCCCCCAUCUCGGAAUCCUCCUGACCUCUCAGUGAGCGCCAUCCCUGCAUUUCCACCUGUGUGCCAAGUGUCAUGUGACUGACGCAUUGGAGGAGAAGGGGGUCUUUUUCUUUUUUGUACGUUUUAUCAGAAUGAAAGAAAAGUGUGACAUUUACGUGGUGGCAGAACACCAGGAAUCUUAAUUGUGUCCCACAAUUUGUAUAAAUGAUUUCAUGUUUUUCCUAUCUUAUCACAUUCCUGACAGUUACAAUUUCCCCCCCCGCCCCACCAUUGGGAAUGUUGGGGUGGUCUACUGAGAUAACUGUGUAUGUGGGGGUGGGGUGGCGUGGGAGUGCACGAAUGAUGUGGGUGCUUGUAUAAACAGGGGUGCUUGGGAGGGGGCUUUGCUGUAUCUUGCAACCUCAGAGUCUUACGUUUCAGCAGGAUUUCAGGCUUCAUGUAUCCCAAAUAGAUUUUAGCAAGCACUUUUGAAAUGCCUUUCCGUUUACAUUGUUUCUAAUGAGCAUCAGCUCUCUUCCUGUGUACAUGGAAACGGGGGUCUUCUCUCCUCUAACGUCUUUUAAGAUUUCUCUUUAUCUUUGAUAUUCAGCAAUAUGAUGAUGAUGUGAUUUUUUGGGUAUUUUUUCUAUAUGGGAUUCACUGAGCUUCUUAUAUCUAUGGGUUGGUAUUUUUCACUGAAUUUGGGAAUGUGUUAUGCGGGGGUGUGGGGGAGGUUGGAGGCCAUUAUUCUUUUAAAUAUUUCUUCUGUACAGUUCUCUCUCCCCUUCCCUUCUGGAACUCCGCUUACACACUUGAGUUGUUCCACAGGUCACUGAAGCCCCAUUUAUUUUAUCUUUUUCAAAAAAAUCUCUGUGCUUCAGUUUGAAUCAUUUCUAUUACCUGGCUUCAAGUUUGCUGAUCCAUCAUUCUAUAGUGUUUAAGCUGCUCUUAAUGUUAUCCAAAUUAUGUUUUCCAUCAGGUGCUGUAUUCUUUUGGUUUUAGAAUUGCCACUGGGUAUAUUUUUAUGGGUCCCAUUUCUCUUCUGAGAUUCUCUAUCCACUCGUUCAUUCUACCCUUCAUUUCCUGAAAAUCCUGUACAUAUUUAUAAUAUGUACACAUUUUAAGGGGCUUCCCAGGUGGUGAUAGUGGUAAAGAACCUGCCUGCCAGGAGAUGUAAUAGAGGCCGGAGACCUAAGAGUCACGAGUUCGAUCCACGGGUCGGGAAGAUCCUCUGGAGGAGGGCAUGGCAACCCACUGCAGUAUCCUUGCCUGGAGAAUCCCGUGGACGGGGGAGCCUGGUGGGCUACAGUCCGUAGGGCUGCA